AACGCACAUUGCGCCCGCCAGUAUUCUGGCGGGCAUGCCUGUCCGAGCGUCAUUUCAACCAUCAAGACCCGGUCUUGUGUUGGGGACCUGCGUCUGACGCAGGCCCUGAAAACCAGUGGCGGGCUCGCUGUCCACACCGAGCGUAGUAACUCACCUCGCUAUGGAGUGGCGCGGGCGCCUGCCGUAAAACCCCCACUUUUAAGGUUGACCUCGGAUCAGGUAGGAAUACCCGCUGAACUUAA
rnacentral:misc_RNA from 1 species